rnacentral:rRNA from 1 species
CCUACGGGAGACAGCAGUGAGGAAUAUUGGUCAAUGGCCGCGAGGCUGAACCAGCCAAGUCGCGUGAGGGAAGACGGCCCUACGGGUUGUAAACCUCUUUUGUCGGGGAGUAAAGUGAACCACGUGUGGUUCAUUGCGAGUACCUGAUGAAAAAGCAUCGGCUAACUCCGUGCCAGCAGCCGCGGUAAUACGGAGGAUGCGAGCGUUAUCCGGAUUUAUUGGGUUUAAAGGGUGCGCAGGCGGCGGUGCAAGUCAGCGGUCAAAUUGCGGGGCUCAACCCCGUACUGCCGUUGAAACUGCGGGCCUUGAGUACGCUAGAAGUAGGCGGAAUGCGUGGUGUAGCGGUGAAAUGCAUAGAUAUCACGCAGAACUCUGAUUGCGAAGGCAGCAUACCGGCGCGCGACUGACGCUCAUGCACGAAAGCGUGGGUAUCGAACAGGAUUAGAUACCCCGGUAGUC